rnacentral:lncRNA from 1 species
AUCUCUCCUCACUCACGCCUCUCUCCAUCUCGCUCUAUCUUCAGCCGAGCUCUCCCUCAAAAUACAGUCGAGCUCAGCCUCUUCCUCUUUCUUUCUCGAUCUGUUCGUCCGAGGCGAGAAGGGCGAGCCCAAAUUUCUCCCUGAUAUUGAAAUCGCCUCUGUCGCCGCUGCAACAUCCGGCGAACAGCCGGGUCUCGCUCGACCUCCUGCGUCGGCUCUUCUUCCCAAUCUGCUGAAGGGAAGCAGAAGUCCNCUGCUCUGCUGUCAUCGUUUUCAUCCUUGCUUCCCACCAGAAAUCAGCUGACCCAGUCAACUGAAAGGACAUACAAGUCAGAAGUUCUUGGUCGGUGCAACGCAGGAAGUUGAAAAUGCGUUCAAUAGCGCGAACCCAAGUUUCAGCUUCUGCCGGGUCUCCUGUCCCGUUGAAGGUAGGUGGGUUCUGUCGUAAGAAUAAUUCUUCAAUCCGUCGUUCUGGCUGAACAGGUGGUUGUACUAUUUCAGGUUCUAGUCUUGAUUCUGGGCAUCUCUCAUCAUUCCGGGGAAUCCUUCUCCCUCCUCUCGGACGCCCUCGUUUCGGUGGCAUUCUAAUGAGUCAAAACACAAGUUGUCAGCGCAUUAAAACGCAAUAAGGACAUACUAUCAUUUUUAUAGUUACUCCUUAACUCAUCGAGUUCUGCUCCUGCUAAAACUUAAGCGAACAUAUAAAUAGAACAUAGCGGAACGACUUGCCGCGAAAGACCAAUAAGGUCACUAUAUAUUCAUGGAAAUUAGUAUCAAUGAGGACUAUGUCAUAAGAAUAGUUCUUCUAUUCUAUGUUCUGGUUGUAUGGGUGGUGAGGCCAUGUUUUGUUCUAGCCCUGGUACUGUAAGUAGAAUGGUUCCAAAUAUCUGAAACUAUAAGCUGAUAGCUUUAAUCGUAAUAUUAUAACAUUAUAUACAAAGCAUUUUGACCCCUCGUAAGUCUAACUCUGAAGUUCAUACAUGAAUCAUGAAGGUUAUCCUCAAGCCAUAGCUAGUGAUAAUCGAGGCUAGAAGCGAGUCUCAGCUUAUUAGGGAUUAGCUAACUGAUUACAUCAGUCGCACUCAUCACUUAUAAUCAAUAUUGUACUUAAACUAUCAUCGAAGGCAAUAGUCGAUUAGGUGUUCCGUUUCGCGUGAACAAUCUGAAUGAAGAACUAUGCCUGCUUCAGUGAUUCGUGCGUGGCACUCUGCUUGCACUGCUUUCAUUGGAUUCUCUUCCUCUUUCUUAGCUAUUCACCAUGGCUAUAGUGAAAUAUAACUGAGUUUCUAGCUUCUAUUGUUCUUCUCGUAACAGUGAUCAUGCAUUCUUAACGCAUCUAAGUUCAUUGAGAUAUCUAAUCAAUCAAUAAAGCAUAAAACUUGAAUGUAAGCAUCAAUACAUUCAUAUAGAACGUGAACUUCUCAAUGUUUUAAAAUCAUUACCACCUUCUUUCUUGCUGAGCAUGACGAUGUGAUGAAGUGAUGAGCUUUGGUCGACUGACUCUUUCAUAGCAGUGAUCAUACUAGAAAAAUUGGUUAACUCUAGGGUUCAGAGCAAAUAAACUGCUCUGAUACCACUCUGUCACGACCGGACCUAAUUAAGGAUAAUUAAGCCGGGGAAACCGUGACUAAUGGAGGGAGAUUAGAAGCGGGGUAGAAAGGGGAAUAAUCAAACAAGAAAGGAUCGCAUUAUCAUUGUUAACAACAGGGAUAUUUAUAAUAUAACGGAGUUUUAGUCGUAUAGACUCAAAUAACUAGUAAGUUCGGAUAACUCCGACUUAUCCAAAAUAACAUAAAACUUCUGAGUACGCAGCGGAAUAAGGUUCUGAUUACAUGUAUGAAGACAUGUAACCCUAGAGUUCAUUAAUACAUAAUAAGACAAAAGAGUCCCGCUCGUCACUUCAUCACCAUCGGCAGCUGCUCAACCUGCACAUUUAGAAAUAUAUGCAGGGCUUGAGUACAAAAGUACUCAGUGGACACGUAUGCCUAAUUAUAAAAAUACAUGCUUCAAAACUGUAAAUUGUCAUGCCAUCAUAAACAGUACAGCAAGGGAGUUUUUCGCUAAAAGGCCCAAGCUUACUAAAUUCAUUUGUGAUUCUUAAAGUUCGUCUGCAGUCUAAGUUCUAUUGUAAUCUAUCAUAUCUGGAACUGUGUGCCGGAGAGGUGGCCACCUCUCACGGUCACUUGACAGGCCAACCCGCUAGAUGACUCACGGUCACUGGUGUACACUAGCCCUGGCAGGAUAGCUAUCAACUGCUCAAGACCCGAAUUCGAUUACAUAACUGGCAAAGCCACAUCAGAUAGAUAUCAUACUAAAAUUGAAACAUUUUAUGGCAAGACAAUAUUUGAAAUAACUUCAAUUAAUUUAGUCAUGAAAUAACUUGUUUGAACGUAACAUUUAAACUCAUUUGAUAUAUAUGAAAGUAAUGCCCACCUGAUAGCAACUUUUGCUUUGGUAAAGUAGCUCCUUGACUGGCUAUUAUUACUCUCGCGCUUUACCUUUAUUGUGAUGAUAUAAAGUAAGAUAUUUGCUCGAAUAAAAUCCUCAAUAAAUGAGAAUGCGUAAUUAACGAUGCAUGAUCCUCUUAUGAAUUAUUAUUCAGAAAUAAUCAGGGAAUUUAUAUUGUUAAUCCAGAUUAUCGGAUUUAAACCAAAGCUAAGUCUCAUCUCAUGAAGCCGGAUAAUUAACUAAAAUUAAUCUAUUCUCUUCAGGAUGUUAUACUCCACUGAUUAAAUAAACCCCAUUCCUCGUAGUCAAUAGAAAAUAAAUAAAUACUUCAACUUAUUCGCUUUAUAACCUCAUAAUUAAUUGGGCUUAAUAAAUAGGAACAAGUAAUGUUAUAAGAUUAAAUAAUUAAAAGGCUCAACAUAAGGCAGCCUAAUAAUUAAUUAAAUAGAAGUGGGCUUGAAUAAUUAACAUGAGAGGCUCAAUUGAAAUAAUUCAUCAACUCAAGUAAUUAAAUAAAUCUUGGCCCAAAUAAAUAAAUAAUUUGAUUAGCUGGGCUCAAUUAAAUAAAUCAAACGAGGCCCAACGAAGAUAAUAUAACAGCCCAAUUAAAAUAGAUGGCCUUCAAUUUAAAUAAAUUCGGCCCAAUGAAAUAAUGUAAUAAAAGCCCAUCUGAGUAAAAUAAAUAAAUUCAGAGGCCCAAUCAGUAAUUAAAAUCGGCCCAUAUAAAUAAAUUUAGAAGCCCAAUUCAUAAUUUAAAAUCGGCCCAAAAUUAAUAAAUAAUCCAGCCCAACUCAAGCCCACUGAAAAUAAAUAACAAAGCCCAAUAAAAUAAUAACUAGAAGGCCCAAAUCAAUUAAAUAACAAGCCCAUUAAGCACAGCCCAAUUUUCAUAAAUAAGGAAAGAAGCCCAAAUCCUUCUCCCCCAAACAUCUCGGUUCUCUCUCUCUCAGCAUAACACUCUCGUUUCUCUCUCUCUUUAUUCCAAAAAGUCGAGCUCUCUCUCCCUUCAAGAAACCGCUCUCUCUCUUUUUCUUCUCUCAAAAUUGUCGGCCAUGUUCUGUUUCACUCCCUCUUGCUCAAAAUCCCAUCUCUCUCUCUCUCAAAGGAACACACUUCUGCUAUCUCUCCUCACUCACGCCUCUCUCCAUCUCGCUCUAUCUUCAGCCGAGUUCUCCCUCAAAAUCAGUCGAGCUCAGCCCCUUCCUCUUUCUUUCUCGAUCUGUUCGUCCGAGGCGAGAAGGGCGAGCCCAAAUUUCUCCCUGAUAUUGAAAUCGCCUCUGUCGCCGCUGCAACAUCCGGCGAACAGCCGGGUCUCGCUCGACCUCCUGCGUCGGCUCUUCUUCCCAAUCUGCUGAAGGGAAGCAGAAGUCCUAAUCUUCCUCGCGGAUUUUGAACCACCUCCCUCAGCUCGGCGCCGCGGCGUUCUGUGAACCCGGUGAAUUUCAGUCUCCGUCCAGUUCUCUGUCCACCUCCGGCGAACAGCCGAUUCUCGUUCGUCUUCAGAAUCUCCCUCCGUCGUCGAGCCCUAAGUUUCAAAAAGGGCAGAACGCCGUUGCCGAGCGUCCGCUGCUGCUGCGCUCGAGCCCUUGCUCGGCCAUGGUUCAGGUCAGCUGCUGUUGUGUGAUUUCCGGCGAGCAGGGGAGGGUCCACCUUUGCUGUCGCUGUUCCCGGCGAAGGGUGUCGCCUUCGUUGUUCUCCGGGGUCGAUGGGGUUCGAGUUGCGCCCCACGCCGCCGCUGCUGCCGUUCUCGGACUUCUCCGUCGAAAGUCUGCCGCCUCCGUCGAUUCCCCGAGCCCCGACGUCGCUGCUGUAACUCAGAUUCCGACAAGGCAGCUCGCUGUCGUCUUCCUUGAGCUCGACUAUACAGGGCAGUCGGCCCUAUUCCUUAAGCUAAGUUCUUUAGUUUCAUUCUUCCUUUUUAUCGAUUCGAAAACGUGAACUAGACAAGGUGAAAUCUUCUUGUUUUGCAUAACUCAAAUUAUGCUCGUUUACUCCUAUGUAAUCUGUCACUUGUUCAUGAUCGCAUAGUUGGGUGUUUACUAAGUUCAAGAUUCUUAUAACUUGCUAUUCUAGAGUGCAUCAGAUUGUGAAACUUAUGAUCACUCUACUGUACGACAUAUCUUCCCUAUUUGAUGCAGAUGAACUGUGAUAUGUAAGAUAUGGAUGUGAACUGAAUUGAAUAUUAGGAUAGCAUGAUUACCUUGAAUGUUUGUGCUUUUGGUUGGCUGCGGUGAUGUUGAGUUCAAUGAGAAGAUAGCUGAAAACAAAUUGUGUAUUUUGUUUGCUUAACAAUGCAGGAGGAACUUAGGAAGAAACUGGAGAGGAUCAGGUCAAUCUUACCUCUCGAAUCUUGCAGCAAUUAUGACAACUUCCUCAAGCUGUUGAUGCGUAAAGAGAGAAGGAUUUGGUGGGUGAUAUAAUAAGGAGUGAAGUUGGUGGCUGUAAAGGGAGGAAAGCAUGGCUUUUGGUGGUUGAAGAGGUGGGGAACAAAGGAUGGUGGCAGCACACUUAUUUCUUUCCACUAACUCUAAUGAUUUUCCUUUAUUGCUUUAAUGAUUUUCCUUUAUUGAUUCCUUGUCGGCUGAUGGUAUUAAACAAGGAAUGGUGUUGCAUUUGAUGUGUAGUAAUGUGGGAUAUGGCUGAAGUAAAGCUCUUGCCUCUUGGGAAUUAUAAACUUGUAGUACAGUAACGCGCUUAAUGAAAUACUAAUCUUGAAUUCUUACUAAUGUAGCGUAUAUAUAUAUAUACUCGCACGAUAUUUGAUUUCUUGCUUGCUAGCAUCGAUGGACUGUAAAAUAAAUCUAAAUUAAAUCCGUAGAUUUAAUUCUCCUCACAAGCCGGAAAUAAUCCACGACUUAAGUAAUUAUAAAUAAUAGAAUCGAUAGUCUCAUCUCGCUUAAUUAAUUAACGUGACUUUGCUAAGUCAGUUAUAACUCUGAAAUAAUAUCAUUGACUGCUUUAAUAAUAUGAAUUCAGGAUCAUAAGCUGAAUUCAUAUCAGGAUAAUAAACGUUUUCAUUCACUGAUGAACAAAAAUAAACACUCAUUACUGGAUUUAAAAUAUAUAAAAGAGCGGGUCACUACAUAAACUGAGCCCAAUUGAAAAUUAAUGGCCCAAACUGAAACAAAAAUAAACAAAAACUCGGCCCAAUACUCAAACCUAGCCUAGCCCAAAACUCCCUCCCUUCUUCUCCCCCCAUCAGCCGCACACACACUCACAACUGCAGAUAAUUGCGUUUGUCCCACGAUUUGUUGCCGUUUCCAGUUAGCCCGUUGAGUAGCCUACUUUAGUAACUCCUUCUCUCUCUAGCGGUGAAUCUUCAACAGCCCUGAUACCUCCGGGACUUAGGGACGACGACGAGCGCCGUCGACUCCCUCUCUCUCUCUGAAUCAGUCCGGCGAGCAACCAUGAAGGUCGUCGCCGUCCUCUCCUUCGGUUCUCUCUCAAAUCUCCCCCCCUGUUAACAGAUCUGGAGGGCGCGGUCAGUGGCUCCACGCCACCACCGUCCGAGUCGUCUCCCUCCUUGGAAACGGCGAGAUCGCCGCUCCCUCCCUCUCUCUCUGCUCUCCCUCCGUCCGUGGCCGGACGACAGCGGCAGGGCCGCCGCGCCCUGACCUCCACAAAUCCCCAGCCCAGACCAGCCACCGCCCCAGCCCCUGUUCCCGAUUGCCGAAGUGUCGCAGCCCGCCUUAACUAAGGAUAGUUAAGCCGAGUGAUCUACGACUAGGGAUGGGGUUAAAGAAUAAGGGGAAGAAAGGGGCAUCAUUUGGAACCGUAAAUCUUACUCAACUUAAGAAAACUCGUCGUAUCUACUCAUUAAUACUCAAUUGAAAAGAGUCUAUGAAAGACAACAUAAAAACUUAAUUAAUACUCCCUCCGUCCGCGAUAUCGUUUCCACAUUUGCCAUUUCGGUCCGUCCGCGAUAUCGUUUCCACUUCCAUUUAUAGAAGUAGGGUCCACAAACUUCCACUCACAAUAAUAGUGGGACCCAAACUCCACUCACUACAUAUGCACUACUAUCCACUAAUUUUCUUAAAACCCGCGCCGUCCACAAUGUGAAAACGAUAUCGCGGACGAAGGGAGUAUCAUUAAUCAAGUUAUACAUCAGAUGAAACCAUUAUCUUAAGACUCAAAGUAUGACAUAACAUACUAUAACAUCAACAACAUCUUGCAGCGGAAAGUAGCUAGACAUAUGUAUGAAGACAUAUUCUAGACAGGUUAACUAUUUAUUAACAACCCUGGAGACUCCGCCCAUUGCAGCACCAUCACCACAUCAGCUCAACCUGCACAUUUAGAAAACAUAUGCAGGGCUGAGUACAAAAGCACUCAGUGAACACAUNAAGAGCCAAUUAAAUAAAAGACUGGCCCAAUUCGAAUUUAAAUAUGAAAGCCCAAGCAAUUAAAAUUGGAAGCCCAAUUUCAUUAAAAAUAAUCUCAAAAUUUCGGCCCACAUAAAUUAGAGGAAAGCCCAAACAAUUAAAAUUAAUCAAGCCCAAAGAAUUAAAUGAAAAGGCCCAAUCACAGCCCAAAUACUAAAAUAAAUAAAGCCCAAAUCCUUCUCCCCCAAACAUCUCGGUUCUCUCUCUCAGCAUAACACUCUCGUUCUUUCUCUCUUUAUUCCAAAAAGUCGAGCUCUCUCUCCCUUCAAGAAACCGCUUUCUCUCUUUUUCUUCUCUCAAAAUUGUCGGCCAUGCUCUAUUUCACUUCCUCUUGCUCAAAAUCCCAUCUCUCUCUCUCUCAAAGGAAACACACUGCUGCUAUCUCUCCUCACUCACGCCUCUCUCCAUCUCGCUCAAAAUCAGUCGAGCUCAGCCGAGUUCUCUCUCUCAAAAAUCACUCACGCCUCUCUCCAUCUUCCUCUUCAGCCGAGUUCUCCCUCAAGAUCAGUCGAGCUCAGCCCCUUCCUCUUUCUUUCUCGAUCUGUUCGUCCGAGGCGAGAAGGACGAGCCCAAUUUCUUCCUGAUAUUGAAAUCGCCUCUGUCGCCGCUGCAACAUCCGGGUCUCGCUCGACCUCCUGCGUCGGCUCUUCUCACUCUCAAAGAAACACACACACAGACGCACAUCUCACCCUCUCACGCGAUCUGCUGCCGCUGCCUGAGACCCGCGAAGGAUCCGGCGCAACCGCCGCCGACAAAUGUUGCUGUUGCCGCUGCUGUCUGAGAUCGGUGGUCCGCCUGCUGGAGGAACGCCGCUGCCGUCAGCUCGUCCGAAGUCGCCGCCAACUACCGCUGCCGUUUCGCCGGAGUCGCGGCCUGGAGCUGCUGCAGCUCGAGCCCUUGCUCGGCCAUGGUUCAGGUCAGCUGCUGUUGUGUGAUUUCCGGCGAGCAGGGGAGGGUCCACCUUUGUUGUCGUUGUUCCCGGCGAAGGGUGUUGCCUUCGUUGUUCUCCGGGGUCGAUGGGGUUCGAGUUGCGCCUCACGUCGCCGCUGCUGCCGUUCUCGGACUUCUCCGUCGAAAGUCUGCCGCCUCCGUCGAUUUCCCGAGCCCCGACGUCGCUGCUGUAACUCGGAUUCCGACAAGGCAGCUCGCUGUCGUCUUCCUUGAGCUCGACUAAACAGGGCAGUCGGCCCUAUUCCUUAAGCUAAGUUCUCUAGUCAUUCUCCUUUUAUCGAUUCGAAAACGUGAACUAGACAAGGUGAAAUCUUCUUGUUUUGCAUAACUCAAAUUAUGCUCGUUUACUCCUAUGUAAUCUGUCAUUUGUUCAUGAUCGCAUAGUUGGGUGUUUACUAAGUUCAAGAUGCUUAUAACUUGCUAUUCUAGAGUGCAUCAGAUUGUGAAACUUAUGAUCUCUCUACUGUAGGACAUAUCUUCCCUAUUUGAUGUUGAUGCAGAUGAACUGUGAUAUGUAAGAUAUGGAUGUGAACU